rnacentral:rRNA from 1 species
AGAACGAACGCUGGCGGCAUGCCUAACACAUGCAAGUCGAACGAGACCCCAACUUCGGUUGGACGUCUAGUGGCGCACGGGUGCGUAACGCGUGGGAAUCUGCCCUUCGGUUCGGAAUAACUCGGAGAAAUCCGUGCUAAUACCGGAUAAUGACGUAAGUCCAAAGAUUUAUCGCCGAGGGAUGAGCCCGCGUAGGAUUAGCUUGUUGGUGAGGUAAAGGCUCACCAAGGCGACGAUCCUUAGCUGGUCUGAGAGGAUGAUCAGCCACACUGGGACUGAGACACGGCCCAGACUCCUACGGGAGGCAGCAGUGGGGAAUAUUGGACAAUGGGCGAAAGCCUGAUCCAGCAAUGCCGCGUGAGUGAUGAAGGCCUUAGGGUUGUAAAGCUCUUUUACCCGGGGAUGAUAAUGACAGUACCGGAGAAUAAGCUCCGGCUAACUCCGUGCCAGCAGCCGC